rnacentral:rRNA from 1 species
CCUACGGGAGGCAGCAGUGGGGGAUAUUGCACAAUGGGGGGAACCCUGAUGCAGCGACGCCGCGUGGGUGAAGAAGCGCCUCGGCGCGUAAAGCUCUGUUAGCAGGGAAGAAAAUGACGGUACCUGAAGAAGAAGCACUGGCUAACUACGUGACAGCAGCCGCGGUAAUACGUAGGGGGCAAGCGUUAUCCGGAUUUACUGGGUGGAAAGGGGGCGCAGACGGCGAUGCAAGCCAGGAGGGAAAGCCCGGGGCCCAACCCCGGGACUGCUCUUGGAACUGCGUGGCUGGAGUGCAGGAGGGGCAGGCGGAAUUCCUGGUGUAGCGGUGAAAUGCGUAGAUAUCAGGAGGAACACCGGUGGCGAAGGCGGCCUGCUGGACUGCAACUGACGUUGAGGCCCGAAAGCGUGGGGAGCAAACAGGAUUAGAUACCCCUGUAGUC